AUAUUUCGGUCAUGCCGUUGGUAUGCACUGUUAUCAUUGAUUUCUCACCUUCUAAAGAACCGUAAUGCCAUUAAUUUGGUGUUACGGGGAAUUAGGACUGUUACCUUGAAAAAAUUAGAGUGUUUAAAGCAGGCUCACGCUUGAAUACAUUAGCAUGGAAUAAUGAAAUAGGACAUCCGAUUCUAUUUUGUUGGUUUCUAGGAUCGAUGUA
rnacentral:rRNA from 1 species